rnacentral:rRNA from 1 species
AACGAACGCUGGCGGCAGGCCUAACACAUGCAAGUCGAACGAGUAAGAGCCGUAGCAAUACGGAGUUCUGCUAGUGGCGCACGGGUGAGUAACGCGUGGGAACGUGCCUUGGAGUUCGGGAUAACAGUUGGAAACGACUGCUAAUACCGAAUAUUCCCUCAGGGGAAAGAUUUAUCGCUCCAAGAUCGGCCCGCGUAAGAUUAGGUAGUUGGUGGGGUAAUGGCCUACCAAGCCUACGAUCUUUAGCUGGUCUGAGAGGACGACCAGCCACACUGGAACUGAGACACGGUCCAGACUCCUACGGGAGGCAGCAGUGGGGAAUAUUGGACAAUGGGCGAAAGCCUGAUCCAGCCAUGCCGCGUGAAUGAUGAAGGCCUUAGGGUUGUAAAAUUCUUUUGCAGGGGAAGAUAAUGACGGUACCCUGCGAAUAAGCUCCGGCUAACUUCGUGCCAGCAGCCGCGGUAAU